UGAGCCAAACUGGCUAGGGCUAAAUAUGUGAAUUUUUGUGACAAUAGGGUCCAACUGUACUUAUUAUUUGGGAGACUAUUUCCCCCCACUUAACAGGAUAUUGUAAACGUAUUUCCAUGUCAUUCUGUGUCAUUUGUGGUGCCGCCUAGGAUUGGAUUCUGUGGAUGUUCUGGGAUUUCUUUAACUGGCGUCCGUUAUUGAACAUAAAAGCAAUGGAAAAAAUAUUCUCAGGUCCCGAAGCCCCAGUGUCUGAGGGACAGUGGUCUCCCUCUGCACCCAGCAGCCUGAUGACCUGAACAUCACCUGCUCCCUUAACCUGAGGCCCCCAAGGUUCUGCGCAUAGAGGACAGACA